rnacentral:tRNA from 1 species
GGAGGAACUGUGGGUCAGUGGUACAGUAUCUGCUUGGCAUCCAGAAGGCCCCAGGUUUGAUCCCUGGCAUCUCCA